rnacentral:rRNA from 1 species
AGAGUUUGAUCAUGGCUCAGAGUGAACGCUGGCGGUAGGCCUAACACAUGCAAGUCGAACGGCAGCGGGUAGGGAGCUUGCUCCCUAUGCCGGCGAGUGGCGGACGGGUGAGGAAUACAUCGGAAUCUACUCUGUCGUGGGGGAUAACGUAGGGAAACUUACGCUAAUACCGCAUACGACCUACGGGUGAAAGUGGGGGACCGCAAGGCCUCACGCGAUAGAAUGAGCCGAUGUCCGAUUAGCUAGUUGGCGGGGUAAAGGCCCACCAAGGCGACGAUCGGUAGCUGGUCUGAGAGGAUGAUCAGCCACACUGGGACUGAGACACGGCCCAGACUCCUACGGGAGGCAGCAGUGGGGAAUAUUGGACAAUGGGCGCAAGCCUGAUCCAGCCAUACCGCGUGAGUGAAGAAGGCCCUCGGGUUGUAAAGNUCUUUUGUUGGGAAAGAAAUCCUGUUGGCUAAUACCCGGCAGGGAUGACGACCCAAGA